UGCCCGGUCGUCUAAUGGUAGGACAGCAGCCUUUGGAGCUGCUUAUCUUGGUUCGAAUCCAAGCUGGGCAG
rnacentral:tRNA from 1 species